rnacentral:lncRNA from 1 species
UCGUUGAAAAGGAUGGAAAUUGACCUUUCGGCUCGGGAAUUGCGCUUCUCUUUCUCGGACAGCUGGACGGAAAUGCCGAAUCGCUCGGCGCGGCGAAUCUUCUUCUGAAUAUCAGAGAGCGGAGCAUCGUUUCCGGCUUCGGGCGGCGGAGAAGUCUUGGAUUCGGCAGCCUCCGUGGCGUCGGUAUCUUCGGCAGCCUCAGUGGCGACAAGAACUGGAUCUGGUAAGGUGGGGUCUAGGGUUUUGUUAGGGUUUUCCGGUGGAGGGUUGGUGUUAUUGUUGUCGGUGACUGUUGCCAUUGGAAGGGAAAGAUCAAUCGAUUAAUCAAGGGAACGAACGACGAAACGGAGAACGAACGGGGAAGCUGAGGAUGAAACGCAGCGACACCGAAACGGAGUUACAGCUGGCAAGGGAUUCCUUUCUCUUCCGAAGACAAAGGGAAAUUGUUCUGUCGUUCCUUUUUUCUAAGUUGCGAAAAUCAAUGAUUUUCUAUUUAUUAUUAGAGACGAGGAGCACGAUAUAUACUUACUUACCUACGCCUACAUUUUCAUUUGUGUGGGUUACUGGGCCUGGGCUGCUGUAAUAAAUGCAAAACAAUAUGACUUUUUUCUUCCUGCGCCCCAUAAUUUCUUAGCGCGCCUCAUUAUUUCAAACAAAUGACUUUGUAUGGGACCAUCGAAUUGUUUAAUCUGAAGCUUAAGACGUAUUUGACUUUUGUGACUUGAUUUUAUGUGCUUAUCUUAAAAUAAACUGAGUAAGAAUUAAUUUAUAAAAUUUAAUUAAUGGCAUAAUCUCUGAUUUUCACUCUAAGUGCGAUUUUUUUCUUAUCUCUGUCACUUGAUUGCAUACACUUAAGAAUUCAUCUAAACGAGACUUGGGGUUGCAAGAAAUACGAGACUCUAAUAAAUUAUUUAUUAAAAUACUCAAAAUAAAAUUAUAUAGGUGCUAAAAAAUUAUGAUGACCAGUUUUAAUUCUUAAAUUUGACUAACGAAUUAAUUAAAAAAUUUAUAGGAAUUAAAAUACCUGUUAGUCAUUAUUUUAACUUGUUUAUAUUUUUGUUGUCUUUUAAUCUUAUCUCUUGAAUGUUUUGACUAAAGAUAUUUGAACAUUUUUUUAAAUUUAAUUUUUCAUUCUUAUUUAGUAAUAUAUACGAACAAAUAUACCUUUUUUUAUGCACUUAACUCUUUUAUUUCAUAUCAUUCGUUAUAUAUACUACUAAAGACUUAAGUUGCUUCAUACAACAUUAAGUGUGAUGGUUCAAAAAGUAAAAAAAAAAAAAAAUUGUCAUUAACAAUUCUCUUUAAUUUUAAUGAUAUAAUAAGGUACUAAAAUUUUAAAUUAAAAAUAAACAAAUAUGAUUAAAAUAUUAUUAUUUUGAGUUGUGUUAUAGAUGUUUUCUUUUGUCUUUGAUUGUGUCAGACGUAUCUCCACUCUAAAAUUUAAGUCACGAUUUUUUUAGACGUAGUUUGUAUCAUAUUACAUAUCAAGUAUUCUCAUUAUACAACAACAUAUUUAGAACAUAUUAAGAACAAACAAUCACUUUAAUCCUUAGAAUAAAUAUAAUUAUUAUAUUAGUACUUCAAAUAAAAUAGAAAGUUCUAAAAACUUUUGAAAUGUAAAAUAACUCCUCAAAUUUAAGGAUUUAUUGUCAUUUAAUUUAUAAACUUAUGUUAAUAUUAUCAUAGUAAUUUUUUAUGGUUUUCUUUUAACCUUCAAAUAAAGUUCACUCAAUACCUGAAUUGGAAGAAGAAGGAGAGAAAAUGAUGCAAACUAACAAGAAUUACAAAACCUAAAUGGAUGUAAGUCUAUCAAGUGAUGAGUUUGUUUGUCUUAAAUAGACAACCUUAGCAUUGUUGAAUCUUGCUUGGAUUUUGUUACAUUAUUUAUAUAAUGGAUUUUUGUUAGAUAAGAGAAGCAUUAAAAUUGGAGAAAAUUUUCUUUCACUUUUUGUUGACAUAAAUUAACUAAGCUUGUGUGAAGUGAAUGAAUAUAUAGUUAAUACACUUUAAGCCAUCACAAAAAGCAAAAUUUUAAAGGUCAAUCAAACACAACAAAAACAUACAAAAAUUAACUAAAAAUAUAAAUUAUAACACCCUUCAAAUUGUUACAAUUGGUAUUGCAUUCUUCUUAGGCAUGGCAUUUUGCAAGAUUUGUAUUUAUUUCUCUCACAUCUAACAUCAAAUUUGUGUUUUAAUCUUUAGUUUUUUUUUUUUUCAUUCUUCUUCACAAUUUUUGUCUUUUCCGGUCUCAAAAGUCCUUUUUAAUUGAAAAAUUUAACCGAUUAACAUCACAUUUGUAAUUCUUUCUCUCUUUUGCUCACAUUUAACCUUUUAUGAGAGUUCUAUCUUUAUCUCUAUUACUUUUUUUUAACCUUUCUUGCAUUUUGUUUUUUUCUUAGGAUUGUGUUUCUUAGGCUUUGGAAUUUAUUCUGCUCUAUGCAACUUUUUCUUUUUUUUUUCACAAUAUUUGUGCAUAUAAAAUAGGGUUUUGUAGUUUAUUUUCACAUAUGUAUUUUUGCUUUAUUAAUCUUUGCAUUUUGUUUCCAUUGGGCAGAAACCACAUUUAUGAAGGCUGAAUUGUGUGCUCUCUCUCUACUUUAUAAUGUAAUAAAGUCUACAUUUUAUGCUGUAUGCAUUGACUAAUUUGUAUUUUAAGCUAUAUUUUUUCAUUUUAACUUAUACAUACAUAUUCAGAAGUCUAUUAAUGUAUCAUUGGCAUGCCUGCUUUUGUGAUUUUUUUUUUUGGCAAUUUGAAAGUGCAUGGGAAAUCAAAAGUCAAAUUCAAAUUCAAAUUCAAAAGAUGAUUUUAUUGUUUGCCUCUGCCUUAAUUUCUCCUAUAUCACUAUGUCAAAUACAAAUUCAAAAGACGACUUUAUUGUUUGUAGACUUCUUCUAUUUUUCAGUUGAACCUGUUAGUAUUCAUUAUUCUUUGUCCACCAGUUGUGAGAAAAAACUAGAAUAACCAACCCAUGCUCUAAAAUAUUAUUUUUUUUUUCUUUCUCUGAUUUUGAUAGAGCUCCAAUUAUACUGAGUAAUCAACGCGUGUUCAUUUUGUGAACAGAAAUAUCAUCACAGCUUCAUGUCUGUUUUUAAUCAAUGUUGUAUGGUUUUGUUUCAUUUUUUCAAUUAAACACUUAGCACAUAAGUGUAAAAAUUCUUAAAACAGUUUUUUUUUUACAUUUAUUUUCUUUGGAAGAGAAAAAUUGAAGAAGAGAUCAUCUUGUUUUAGAAUUGUAAAAUUCGUUGAAACCUUAUCCGACCGCUAUCAUGGUGACCAAUACAUUGACUUUCAAAUACAUUGACAUUCAAAUUUUUUUAUUUUUAAUUCAUUAUUUUACAUUACAAGAAUAAUAAGUAGAAAAGUAUAUUAUUUAUAAUUUUCUAGAAUUCAAUCGAUUCAAACUUUAUUAAAUAUUACUAAUUAAUAAGAAAUUUGUUAUAUGUAGAUAUAUAAUUUUAAAUUGAUUGGGUAUUUAGUGGACUGAAAUUGUAAGUAGUAUAUGGUUUCAUUGCUAUUAAGUGGUCUAGGAUUCAAAGUUUAUUAAAUAUUUAUAAGGUUUAAUCUUUUUAGUUAUCUCUAUUUUUGGAAUUUUUUCAAAUUUCAUCAUUUUUUUAUUAAAAUUUUCAAUUGGGUUCUCAUAAGAGCUAAUUUCAAUCAAUUUAGCCAUUUCCGUUAAAAAAAGUUAACAUCGUGAAGUUUGUGUACAGUGGGGUGAAUGAAUUGUUCAUUCAUGUAACCGUGACCUUUUUAGCCUUGAAACGUGGCAAGGAUUAGUCAUGAAACGUGACAAGGAUUAGUCAUGAAACAUGGCAUUAUUUAAAAUUUAAUAAUUUAAAAUAAGGUUAUUCUCAUAUCCGAUUUAGGGAUCUAAGGUUAAAUGGAAACACUGAAUCAUUUCCUUUUAACUUUUCCAAAAUCAGAUUUUUUUUAAUUAUGCACAAGCUGUGGAGAAACUAAUAUUAAUUUUUCGUAUCAUUUUUCCGAAGUUUCCUCCAAUCAAGCUCUAAGUCCAAAGCAACAACUUGACCACAGUGAUUCAACCAAAAACCACAAACACAAACCACCUCUUCAAAUUGCAGUUAUGUGGUUGCCAUCUCAAUACUGGUAACCCAAAUCAGACCUUUCAUGCUUUUGAUGGGCCAAUUGGUCAGACAUGUAAGGGCAAUCUGAUUCAUUAUAUAGUGGAUGCUAAACAUUAUCAAACACCCAUUUGCCUGAAAAAACAUCACAACUUUCCGGCCUCACUCUCCGACGACCAGACUGCCAAGAAUCACCACGCCAAGCAAUUUUCUUGCCACUAUACUCAGCAGUAGAGUUGCAUCUUCUGAAUCUAUCCAAAACCCCUAAAAUCCAACAACCCCAUUUCAACAAGUCAAAGAAAGUACAAAGCUUAAGCCUCCAAUGAAGCACAAAGCUGAAGAGAAAUGUCAUACCCGGAGCUUGCUUAAGGUGACCAGAGAGGUUGGGUUUGACAAAGGUGGUUGAAGAAACCUCUUGGUGGUUAAGAACAUGAUAUGGGAUUUCAUUGAUUCGUUGUAUGGUGUGCUCAUUGUGGAGCAUUGAGAAGGCUAUGAAGAACAGCAAGACAAGCACAAGUAAAGGAAAUAUGGGGGGUUUCUUUAUGUUCCACUUCCAUUUAACCCUAAAUCAGAUUAAUAACCUUAUUUUAAAUUAUUAAAUUUUAAAUAAUGUCACAUUUUAUUACUAAUCCUUACCACCUUCAACACUAAAAAGACCACUUUUAAAUAAAUGAACAAUUCAUCCACCUUACUAUAUAAAAACUUCACGACGUUAACUUCUUUUAAUGGAAAUAGCUAAAUUGAUUGAAAUUAGCUCUUACGAGGAUCCAAUUAGGAAUUUUAAUAAGAAGGAAAUGAAAUUAGAAAAACGCUCCAAAAAUAGGGACGACUAAAAGAUUUAAACCUAUUUUUAAUUACCAAUAAAUAAUAUUUUUGUUUAUAUUAUAUAUAAUAUAUUAAAUAUUACAUUAAAUUGUUAUAUAUUAUAUCAAUUAUAUUAAUAUAAUUUUAAAUAUAGGUCAAUAUUGUAUCUUAAAUUGUUGUAUAUUAUAUAUUAUAUAUUUGACAUUAUAUUAUAUAUGUUAUGUAUUAAUAUUAAUAUUUGAGGUUAUUUUAUUUUGUUAAACUUUUUUAAUGUAUAGAUUUCUUUUUUUCUUUGAAAGAUAAAAACUGUAAACUUUGCUAUUCAGUGGUCUGAGAUUGAUUGGACUGACAGUAUAGGUAAUAUAUGGGUGGCCGCUACUUCCUGCACCCCAUUUUUUUUUCAUGCACCCGGUUUCUAUAAAAUACUGAUUUUACCCUUGAAUCAAUGAAUCCAUAGUAAAUAGUAAAGUGAAUUUUAGUUAGUUGCACCGCACCUCCCUCACCCUCCCUGCAUCUACCUCCUUAAUUCCUUCUCUCCACACCCCCAUAGAAUUUAAACUCCCAUUUACCCUUUAUAUUAAAAAACCCUAAAAUGGAAAUCUGCCACCCACUAUAUAGGUUGAGGAAUAGAGGUAAAAUGAAAUUCCGAACUACGUUUUAGGAUUGGGUCUCUUGUAAUUGAUAUCUACAAUAAAAAUCACUAAAUUUUAAAGAAAAAACCUAUUGCUAUGGAACUAUGGUCUAGUGUCCUUUUGACGUCUUUCUUUUGAUAUGGGGAUUUUGUGAAUGAUCUACAUUCUUAAAAGACUUAGGAGCAGAUAUCUUGCCUCUCCUGACAACCGCCUCUGCUAUUGACUUCAGAGGAACUGCAACAUCCAAAGGAAGAAGCACCUCUUCCAACUCCUGCCAAUCAAGAUCUUCCGAAUCCCCAUCUUCAUAGUGGACCCUGUACCACCGAGAAUCUUUGUCGUAAUCAGUUACUCUACCUGAGUAAUAUCUUCCCAUAAACCACUUUCUCACUUCCCUCCCUUCAAACCAUUCACCCAAACCUGAACCCACAUUUAUUUCAAAUUUGCUCGUACCAUCACGGAGAGCAAUAGAGCAGUCACUGGGGAUUAUGUCAGGCACCCCAUUAAUUACAAUAGCAGGUUCUCCAGCUACCUCAUAAACCCCAACUGCUGAACUAUUUGACUCCUGCUUAAUUCCUUUGCCCUCCAUUUCAAAAUUUCCUUCGGAAAAUCUACAGAUAACAGUAAACAAUUAUUUAAUUAUAUAGGAAAUGAUAAUCUUUUGUCUGCACUCCAAGACUCCAUGGAGAUUGUACCUCAGAACAUGAUUUCACAAAAUGUUUCGCAAAAUAAUCAUAAAUGAAAUGAUAAUUUUGGGUCUACACUCCAAGCUUUGCGGAGAAUGUGGCUCAGAACACAAUUUAACAAAAGUAAGUAUUUUUAAAAAUUAAUCAAAGAAUUAAACAAAUCAUACAAAAACAUUCAGUUAAUGCCAAAAAAAUCAAAGCCCAAGGGAAACAUUGAAUAUGAAAAAUAGUGACUUUUUUCAAGUUAUCAAUUUCAAUAGGAAUAAUAAUUUAUCGGCACACAAACCUAUUUAACCUUGUGGGCGUUUUGAUCUCGUCGUAUCUAGAGUAUCAUAUUCACAUUUCAAUAUAUCUACCUUUUAUUUGAAGAUCAAAUCAAAGAUGCAUAUAAUAAUAUUAUAUAUGUUUGGAUAAACAUCAAGCUUGUGGACAAGUUGUUUUCCUAGAAAAAAAUAAGACUUCAAUUCCAUUUCUCUCUAGGAUUCAAUGUAAAUGUCAUUUCUAUCUUUCUAUCUCAUAUCAGCCAUUAAAUCCUGAUAUAAAGUUCACCUACCAUAACCAACUUAUUUAUUUGAGUCAAACUACUAGCAUCUUACCUUAUAUCAAGAGUUCUUACCCUAUUUUUCUUCAUCUAAGCACAAACAUUUAAAUGAAUUUAGGGAGAUAGGAAAUCAAUGAUAUCAUUUCUACAAGUUAAUUGUUUAACAAUAGCUGUUUAAGUUGAUUUUUCAUGAAAAAAUAAUUUAAACAAUUACUAGACUGAUGAUCUAUUUAAAUUCAAAAUGGUCAAGUACAUGAGACAUAACUCCAAACAAUUUUACAGAUAACCAGUGGAAACAGAUAGGCGUAAGUGUUAUUUCUUUUUUAUUCUAACACAAAUUAUUAAACUAUAAAUAAUUAUAAAAAAUUGUAUAUAUUUUAAAUUAUUAAAUAGUUUUUAUUAUAAAUUAUUUGAAUUUAAAAAAUAAUUAUUCAAAAGAUAAAAUAGUAAAAUAACUAUUAUUAAUUUAUAAAAUAAUUAAUUUAGAGAGAUGAUUUAAAGAGUAAAAAUAAAAAUGUAAUUAUUUUAAUUUAAAAUAAAAGUUAUUAAAGGAUAAAAUUGAAAAAAAAAAAUGUGUAUACCCAAAAAAAUACGAAUCCUCUAUAGGUAUAGAUAAUAGAAUACUCAAUUAUAGAAAUGUUUCCAAAACUUUAAAAUUUAAUCCAUUAUAAAUUUUAACUAAACAUAUAAUAUUAACCUAAAAUUAUAUAACAAAUAAGUGCAUAUAAAUCAACUUACACGGCCUUCCUCUUUAACUCCUCAGAUUUUGAGGGCUCUGAUCCAUGCGAAGCGACGUUAAGAAAAUGUUCACUUGAGAUAAACCUAAAAUUUGAUACACAAAAGUAGGGUCUAUAAAUCAAUACAUGAAAACCGAUAGACAAAAGAGGAUAACAAUACGGACGAUUGAAUGUAUAUUUGAAAAACAAAGGAAUGGAAGAGGUUGGAAAUUGACCUUUCGGCUCGGGAAUUGCACUUCUCUUUCUCGGAGAGCGGAGCAUCGUUUCCGGAUUCGGGCGGCGGAGAAGUCUUGGCUUCGGCAGCCUCCUUGGCGUCGGUAUCGUCGGCAGCCUCAGUGGCAACAACGACUGGAUCUGAUAAGGUGGGGUCUAGGGUUUUGUUAGGGUUUUCCGGUGCAGGAUUGUUGCCAUUGCUGUCGGUAACUGUUGCCAUUGGAAUGUAAAGAUCGAUCGAAUAAUCAAGGAAAAGAACGACGAACAGAAUAAACGAGGAAGCUGAGAAUGAAAAUGAAACGAAGCGACACCAAAACGCUGCCAAGGAUUCCUUUCUCUUCCGAAGACAAGGCAGAGGAGGUUUUGUUGUGUAGUUCCUUCUCUAAGUUGCAAUGAGCAAAAUGAUUUAUUUAUUUAUUAUUACAGCUGAGGAACAUGACAUAUAUACUUACAUAUGUCUUCAUUUUCAUUUGUGUAGGCUACUG